AGCGCGUAGGCAGAUUCGUUGGAUGAGAUGCUUUUGGGAAGAUUCCUUGUUGUUAUUGGAAUUGGCGUAAAUACUGUUCUUGUUCUGCUAUAUAUCUCUGAGGUGGCGAACAAUGCUUUUAUGUUGCAUGUGUACCUGGUGUUCUUAUUGUUGGGAUGCAAUUUGCUGUUGAGAGUCUCUGCUGGCUUGCCAAGGUCGGAAGGUUUGAUGAUGCCCAAAAAGUUGUGGAGAACCUUUGAGGACCUUCUGAAGUGGAUAAGUCCAUGGAAGAGAUUAAAGCCAUUGUUGUAAAUGAUGAUUCACAGGCCAGCUGGUCAGAACUUCUGGUGGAACCCCACAAUAGAGGCACUUUUAUUUAUCAGGAUAUACUUUUCCCUUUGACCCUUUACUCAUUUCUUCUGGUUUAAAGGGAACCAAAUGAUAUCAUGCUUAUGAAGUACAAUGACGAGGUGCAUGUUCAUACAUUUGUAUGUGCGUGCACUUGUUUGUUGAACUGCAAAUGCAUGUCUAUGUGUGCCAUGAGACAUCCAUCAGAUGUGUUCGUACUUUAACAGCCUUGUACCUGAUAACUUGUUAUUUGGGGCACUAAGUUGCUAUGCCUCUUUUUAUAGCGAUGAGUAACUGAGAGGUACUGUUGUAGCA